AGGGCGAGAUCAUAAGUUAUGCUAGAUUUGCUCUGUUUCCAACUGUCAAUUGCCAACCGUUGUUUGUUUUCAAUCGUCUCACAAAAAACGCGAUCCGCUUGUAAAAUUCGUGCAAUUUCCCAUUUAAAACGCUCAUAAUAACGAUACAAGAUGUUCACGGUGGCACAAUUUUUCGAAAAGCAGCAAUUGCGGGUGCUCGCUGUUCCUGUUUCGUGGGUACGUGACGGUUUCUUGUUGUGGCCAAAACUCUCCUCGAAUGAAAAGCUGGAUAAAUUGCGUACCGAAGGAGUGGAAUUUCACGGUUCCACAAAAAAAAUUCCAGUGAUAACGAGUCGAAAAUACAAAACUUUGAAAACAGCAGAGGCCGCCGCUGAUGAUCUGCUCAAACAGGAUGUAUCGGACAUCGAAGCGAAGCGAAAGCUGCUAAAGCACCGGAAAAUAAAUUCCAGCACUCCUCGCCCUCUUAAGGAUUACAACAAGAUGAUUACAGAAAUUUCAUCUGCGAAGUCGGCUAUGCCUUUUGCCCGCGAGGAUAGCUCUCAAAAACAAGCAGGGCCGUCUGGACUACCAGCAGCUUCUUCCGAAUCAUCCCGUAUUCAACAGCAGUUUCCAGUAAGGGGAACAGGUGAUGAGCAUACAUCACAGCGUUCGCUUGCCAGCCAAUAUCUUGAGAAAGAACUGAAUUCACCAGACUUAUCCAUAACUCUCCCAGCUAUCAGAUGCCUGCCGGAGGUGCCAAAUGAAUCACAGUUUUUUAAAAAAACGUCGAAGCAGCAAGCGUAUCCAACAGGUAAGAAACAUCAUUCACAAAUAGCUUUAUGGACCGAUGCACGGGUUCACGAAUUUAACGUUAGAGCGGUGCCGAAUU